UUUAUUUGAGAGUUUGAUCCUGGCUCAGGAUGAACGCUGGCGGCGUGCCUAAUACAUGCAAGUCGAGCGAAUGGAUUAAGAGCUUGCUCUUAUGAAGUUAGCGGCGGAC
rnacentral:rRNA from 1 species